rnacentral:rRNA from 1 species
AUUGAACGCUGGCGGCAGGCCUAACACAUGCAAGUCGAGCGGAUGAAGGGAGCUUGCUCCUGGAUUCAGCGGCGGACGGGUGAGUAAUGCCUAGGAAUCUGCCUGGUAGUGGGGGAUAACGUCCGGAAACGGGCGCUAAUACCGCAUACGUCCUGAGGGAGAAAGUGGGGGAUCUUCGGACCUCACGCUAUCAGAUGAGCCUAGGUCGGAUUAGCUAGUUGGCGGGGUAAAGGCCUACCAAGGCGACGAUCCGUAACUGGUCUGAGAGGAUGAUCAGCCACACUGGAACUGAGACACGGUCCAGACUCCUACGGGAGGCAGCAGUGGGGAAUAUUGGACAAUGGGCGAAAGCCUGAUCCAGCCAUGCCGCGUGUGUGAAGAAGGUCUUCGGAUUGUAAAGCACUUUAAGUUGGGAGGAAGGGCAGUAAGUUAAUACCUUGCUGUUUUGACGUUACCAACAGAAUAAGCACCGGCUAACUUCGUG